GGCUCGGUAGCAGAGGGUCUGUAUCUGCUUUCCAUUAUAGAUUAUCGCCAGCGUAAUGCAGACAUAGCCUGUUCGACUCAGGCCCGAGCCA